rnacentral:misc_RNA from 1 species
CGCACGAUCUCCAAAAACUUUGUUCGCUGCCUGCAAUUCAAUUUCAAAAGAGCCUUUGCCUAGUUUCCCGUCCGCGUAAAGUUCGUACGGUAUCGCACAGGAAGCACGUGUUCCCGGUUCCUGUUUUGGCAAAUAAGGCGAAGCUUCGGCGUUUUGAUUAAUCUCCGAAAUUUCCUGAUCGGUUAAAGACCUGAAAUUGGCUGGCACUUCCUUAAACUGCGCUUUAUGGAUGGUGGUCACAAUUUCAUCGCGAUCAACAGGUGCAGGUUUUUUAUAAGCCGAAGGAUCAUAUGGCUGGAAAACGGUAUUGAUAUUGCCGCAAACCGUUCUGCGCCAUUCGGUUAUGUUGGUCUCCUUUACUUCCUUUUUUGCUUUAUGACUUGUAAAAUCUUCUAAAAACUGAAUGAUCGAAGUAUGGUCAAAAACCUGAGAGCAUACCUUUCCGCCGCGUGACCAUGGAGAAGCCACAACCAGAGGAACCCUGAAACCCAGUCCGAUAACACCUUCCCGAGCAUUUGCUUUAGGUACCUGCGUAAGGUCCUGUUCCAGUGUUACGUAUUCGGCUUUCAGGUCGAUACCUUCAGAUACUUUGCCUGUAUUGGGUUUAAAUGGAUCGGGUAUCGAAAACGGUGGCUGGUGAUCAUAAUAACCGUCAUUUUCAUCAUAGCACAAAAUGAAAAUCGUUUUUUUCCAAACGUCCGGAUUUUUGGUAAGAAUGUCCAGCGUUUCGGAAACGUACCAGGCACCAUACCAGGGUGCCGACGGAUGAUCGGAGAAAUUCUGAGGCGCGGCCAGAUACGAAACCAUAGGCAAUUUCCCCUCAUUCACAUCCUUCCGGAACUGAUAAAAGAUAUCACUUUUCGGAACAUCCAAUGUCCUCUUUUCCAUUCCCUCCUGAUAAGUAAGGCUGCUCAGCUUCAGAUAAUCCGGAUCAUUCCGGUUUGUUAUAAACGCACGGUUAUGAAUACUUUGUUCGGUAACGGAAAGCUUUUUGAAGUUCUCCGAAUUGUAGCGAACCUGCUCUGUUCCAUAUUUUUCGAGCAAAGCGUUCUGCUGUUCCAGUGUUUUGGUCAGUUUGUUUUUUGCAUCUCCGGCUGCUUCGGCUAUCUGCUUUUGUAAAUCGGCUACUGUUUUCCUUAGUUUUUCCAGUUCCAGUUUUACGAAAUGUAUAUAUUUCAUUUGAAAAUUUCACAUUGUACUGCGCAUACCGUUCCAGCGGAUUGCAGCCAAAGUUACCCAGCCAGGAUCCUCCCUUCGGGUUAAAUUUCAUAACCGCACUGAUCUCGUUCUGAUAAAAACCCCACGAAAUACCGGCUUCCUCCAUCCUUUCAGGAAAUGUUUUCCAUUUUACCGGAUUAUCAACAGAAAAAUAACUGUUACGAACCACUGCCAAGGAAUCAAUAGAGGAAUUCUCUCUGAUCGUUCCCGACCACAAAUAAUAACGGUUGGGAUGCGUUGGCGUCAUGGAUGAACAAAAAUUCUGAUCGCAAACCGUAAACGCAUCUGCCAGGGCAUAAUAAAAAGGGAUAUCUUCCCGGUCGUAGUAACCCAAAGUCAGCGGCAUUGCGGAGUACUCCUUAUGGCUGGAUUUUUUAGAAGUGAGCCAUUUGUCAUAUUUCCCCCCGUUAUAGGCGUCCACCUGCGACUCACGGGAAUGGGGAAGGUCGUGCAUCCAGGUUGCCUUUGUGUCCUUAAUGUUCAGACGGAAAGGUGCAUAGGUAUUUCCUUGCGGAUCGGUCUGGAGCCAUACUUUAUUUUUAUUGGGCAGCGAAAUAGCCCGCGGAUCGUUGAAACCCCUUACGCCG